CUGUGUUUGUGGAGAAGUUUAGUCAACCACAUUCAGGACAUCCAUGACCAUGACCCCCCUGCCUUCUCCAGUUGUGCCCAUGGCCCUCUAGACGGAUAUCAGCGCAACAAAGAGUGGCUGGACCCAGGUACAGUACUGGUAUUAUGCACGCUCUACAUAGUUUUGUUGUAUUUGCUGUCUUUGAGUAAUUGUCUGGAUGCUUUGACAUGUGACCUUUGUGAUGAAAUUAUUUUUUCAUUCCCUGGCAAUCUCAUAACAUUCUGUUUACUGUUUAUGUUUGCUAUAAUUCAUAUGCAGGACAAUUUCAUGUGUGUUACCAUUAAAAAAAGGAAUUCUGUCUGUCUAUCUUCCUGUCUAUUUGUACAUUUUCCGUCUGUGUGUCUGUCUGCCUACCUGUCUUGGUCUUUGCAGGCUCAUUGGCAGCAGUAAAGUUGGAGAACAUAAUGAUGAGGACUGCCUUACUGAAAGAUGUUCGACAGCUGUCUCCAUAGCACCAGACCUUCUCCCUUGAGGCUUACCACUCCCUCAUCUUGCACUUCGCGCCCAAGCACACAGGGUUUUCAUACUUUGGGAUGUAUAGCAGGCUUCUCUUAGCGGCGCUGCAUUAUAAUCACAAUGCCAAUCGCGAGACAGCACGGAGAAGUGACGGGACGGAGAAGUACUGCGUGCGGUAUCCGCACUUCAGAAAAGGUGCCCAUGUGGUGCGUCCCAUGAAAGAGGCAGCCUCAUACGGUUAUGCAACAUCAUUAAUGAAGGCCCUUUGGGAGAGCUAUGCCAAUUCACCCGCGGUUCUUCGGGAGACAUGUCCAAUGAUUUAGUUGUAAGUAUUUAUUUUAGUUGUUAGUUAUCUUCUAACCUACUGUCCCUGUCAUCUCAUUUGGUGGUGGUUUCCUUCAUGCUGCAUGUUUUAUUUUUCUAUUUUUGUGCUUUGUUUUUUACUUUGCACAAAAUCAUUACUUUUUUUCGUCAAUAAGUGCCAAUAAUUGUCGCUGUGCCCCAUUCAAGGGGUCCUGCAUGCUGCAUGUCUGCUCCUCUGUCUGUGUGCUUGUUUUUUUUGUUGUUGUUAUUAUUUGCAUGAAAUUUCUUUGCAUGUAAUUCAAAAUAAUUUACCAAUCAUUAUACCUGUGCCUUGUCAACCUCUGUGUACGGUGUUGUCUGGGCUCACCUGGCCAACCUGUGUCAUGUUCAGUAACCAUUACAAGCAAUGCCAAUAAACCGUUUUUUUUUUAUCCAAAA
ensembl:lncRNA